rnacentral:rRNA from 1 species
UAAAAUAAAGAGCAUUUAAUGAAUAUCUUGGUAAAAAAUAAAAAGGACGUCGCGCGACGAAACAUUACAUGUAGGCAUUAGCCUGUGAUUUGUAAGUUUCCUAAAAGAAAACUUUAAUUUUUUAAUUAAAACAAUGUGAAUUGAACCAUCUUAGUAACAUUGAUAAUAUAAAUCAAAAGAGAUUUUACUAGUAGUGGCGAACGAACGUAAAAAAAGCUUAAUAUAAUAAAAUUUUUGGAAACAUCUUAAAAAGGUAAAAGUCCUGUACAAAAAAUUAUUAUUUUUAUAAGUAAUGUGAAACUAAAUUUGCAUGAAAAAAGGAGAACCACCUUCUAAGCUUAAAAAAUUUUUUAACCGAUAGUGAACGAGUACCGUGAGGGAAAGAUAAAAAACUUCAAAAGAAGUUUAUGAAUUUAAAAUUUAAUGUUUAUAAGUUUUUGAAGUUUACAAAAAACAACAAAGUGCCUUUUGCAUAAUGAGUCAGUAAGUUAAAAAAUAUAGCAAGCUAAAUCUUAAUAAUUAAGCGUUCAAAAAGUUAUAUUUUUUAAACCUGAAGCCAAGUGAUCUAAUUGAAAGCAGGUUGAAACUUUAUUAAUAUAUUGUUGAGGACCGAACUCAUAUAUGUAGCAAAAUAUAGAGAUGACUUUUAGUUAGGGGCGAAAGACCAAUCAAACUUGGCGAUAGCCGGUUUUUCACGAAACGUAUUUUAGUACUACAUUAUUAUUGUAAAUUAAAGGUAAAGUACUUAUUAAAUAAGGGGGUUUAAAAACUUACUAAGUUUAAUUUAACUCAGAAUUUUAAUUUAAUUAUAAUAGUAGACAGUCUUUAAGCGAUAAGGUUUAAAGACAAAAGGAAAACAAUCCAGACCGUAUGUUAAGACCUUAAAAUUAUAAUUUAGUGAAGAAAAUUACUACUAAAACAAAUAAAAAGGAUAGGCUUAGAAGCAGCCUUUCAUUGUAGAAAGCGUUUUAGCUCAAUAUUUUUAUUAGAGUAAUUAAAAAUGAACGGAGACUUUAAAUUAUAUGUCGAUACAACGGAUUAAAAAUUUUUAAUGGUAGUGAAACGUUCUGUAUUAAAUGUAUUAAAUGAUAAAUUAAUACUAAAUUUCAGAAGUGCUAAUGCUGACAUGAGUAGCGUAAAACUAUGUGUAAAACAUAGUCACUUAAUAUCUAAGGUUUUCAAUGCAGUUUUUUUCACAUUGAGUUAGUCGGUCCUUAAAAGGAGAGCGAAAGUUGUACUUGACAGGAAUAAAAACCAAUUAUAUGCAAGUUUUUGUUAAAAGAAAAAAUGAUUUAUAGAUUUGUAAAGGUAAAAUCUCUAAAAAAAUACUUCUCGAGAAAAAAUUAUAAUUUUUAGACCGUACUAAAACCAACACAGGUAGAUAAUAAAAAAGUGUAUGAAUAAAUUAUAUUGAAGGAACUCGGCAAAUUUACUCUGUAUGUUCGCUAUAAAGAGGACUAAGUUUUACUUAGUAACAUAAACAAAGAAGCAACGACUGGUUACCAAAACCACAGGACUCUGCAAAUUAUAUAAAAAAGUAUAGAGUCUGACGUCUGCCCGGUGCUUAAAAGUGAUAAAUUUAAGUUAACGCUUAAAUUUUAAUCUUAAGUAAACGGCGGUUCUAACUAUAAGAAUCCUUAGGUAGCGAAAUUCCUUGACGGGUAAAUUCCGUCCCGCAUGAAUGACGUCACGAUUGCUUCACUGUCUCCAAUAUAAGUUCAGCGAAAUUACAUAACCCAUGAAAAUGUGGGUUACCUGCAGUAAGACGGAAAGACCCUAGAUCCUUUACUCUAUUUUUAUAUCGUAAAUUAUAUAAAAAAGUAUAGAAUAAGUGGGAGUACUUAAGUACAGAACAUGAAAUACCACUAUUUUUUAUAACAUUUACUUAUUUAUUUAUUAUAAAAACUGUAUAAAAAAGGGAGUUUACUUGGGACGAGUACCUCCUAAAUUGUAACGGAGGUGUACAAAGGUAAGUUUCAACUACUUAAAUAAAGUAGUGAAGCGUGUAAUGGCAAAAACUUGCUUAACAAAAAGAUUGAUAAAUCGAUUUGAAACGAAAGUUUGUCAUAGUGAUCCGGUACAUAUAUGUGGAAAUUAAACCGCUUAACAAAUAAAAGGAACUCUAGGGAUAACAGAUUCAUCGUGGCUAAGAGUUCUUAUUGAUGCCACGGUUUGAUACCUCGAUGUCGACUCAUCUUAUCCUGAAAUUGAAGCAGAUUUCAAGGGUCUAGUUGUUCGCUAGUUAAAAAGGUACGUGAGUUGGGUUCAGAACGUCGUGAGACAGUUCGGUCCCUAUCUGCUGCAGGAUUCGAAAAGAAAAAAACCUGUUUUUAGUACGAGAGGACCAAAACAGUUUAACCACUGGUGUAUUGAUUGUUAAACCUUUAACAAUGUCAAGUAGCUACGUUAAAUAAACAUUUAAAUGUUGAAAGAAUCAAAAACAUUAAAUUACUUUUUUACUACUUUUCAAGAGGUUUCUAAAAGAUAAUUAGAAAAAUCGGUUUACAGUUUAAAAUUUAGUGAUAAAAAGCUUAUAAAUACGAAAAAACCCAGGCAAAAUACUU